CGAGCACGCGCGUGUGGCAUAUCAAUAAGCGGAGGAAAAGAAACUAACAAGGAUUCCCCUAGUAACGGCGAGUGAAGCGGGAAGAGCUCAAAUUUGAAAUCUUCAAGGUUCUACCUUGACGAAUUGUAGUUUAUAGAAGUGUUUUCUGUUAGUGGAGUGGCAAAAGUUCUUUGGAAUAGGACAUCAUAGAGGGUGAGAAUCCCGUAUUUGGUCAUUCCUCCUAGCGUUGUGAUACACUUUCAACGAGUCGGAUUGUUUGGGAAUGCAGUCCAAAAUGGGUGGUAAAUUUCAUCUAAAGCUAAAUAUUGGCGAGAGACCGAUAGCGAACAAGUACCGUGAGGGAAAGAUGAAAAGAACUUUGAAAAGAGAGUUAAACAGUACGUGAAAUUGUCAAAAGGGAAGCGUUUGACACCAGUGUUGUUUUCUCGAAAAUCAAUUAAAAAUGAUGGGAUUUUGUGUUGUAUUGACUUUAUCAGCUUUCUGCACUUUUUUCUUAUCUUUUUUAAUGCACUUUUCGUUUAACAAGUCAACAUCAAUUUCUUUUGUUGUAAAAGGGUCAUUGGAAGGUGGCUUUCACUUCGGUGAAAGUGUUUAUAGCCUUUGGCUUCUACAAUCGGAGAGAUUGAGGUCUGCAGCGUAGAUCCUUCGGGGUUAGAUACGUAGAUGCUAAGUUAUAGUUUUUUAUAGACAACUUGUUGACUAUGAUUAAUCAUGUAGCUUACUCGUUUACGCUAUUUUACCUACGCUUAGGAUGUUGAGUAGCGACAUACGCAC
rnacentral:rRNA from 1 species